rnacentral:tRNA from 1 species
AACUAAAUGGCUGACAAAAGCAUAGAAUUUUUAAUUCUUACAUGAUACCCUUCUUUAGUU